UAAAGAGCGGGUCAAUUGAGCCUCGGAGUCCUUCUCCACCCACGUAUCAAUUUUAAAAAAUGCAACAUUAGUAGGCGUUGCCUGGAGGACCGAGAGGGCGGAGCCGCGGCAGUGACGAAGACGAUGGCUAACUAGUCGAAGCUAGCUCCCUUCACUCUGAGCAGUUGAUAGAAGUGGAGGACGUUUCUCCCCCUCCUUACAGACACUCGAGAAGAAAGGGACCAAGUCUAUUUGGAGGAGACAAGCGGACCUGAGUCUUAUUGUUUUGAGCUUGUGAGUUGCCUGAAACUCCCAGAACCGACCCAACAGAAUCACCUCUGAAAGGUCCUCUGGUGUCUGCAGCUGGUCUCUGGUGUCUGCAGCUGGUCUCCUCUGCUGGUGUCCUCAGGAUCAGGAACUUCCAGAAGAAUGUGCCUUUCAAUGACUCUUUCCCCCUUAUUUGUUAUAUUAAUUAAAUAAAUCUCAAUUUAUAUA